rnacentral:rRNA from 1 species
AGAGUUUGAUCAUGGCUCAGAUUGAACGCUGGCGGCAGGCCUAACACAUGCAAGUCGAGCGGAAACGAGUUAUCUGAACCUUCGGGGGACGAUAACGGCGUCGAGCGGCGGACGGGUGAGUAAUGCCUAGGAAAUUGCCCUGAUGUGGGGGAUAACCAUUGGAAACGAUGGCUAAUACCGCAUGAUGCCUACGGGCCAAAGAGGGGGACCUUCGGGCCUCUCGCGUCAGGAUAUGCCUAGGUGGGAUUAGCUAGUUGGUGAGGUAAGGGCUCACCAAGGCGACGAUCCCUAGCUGGUCUGAGAGGAUGAUCAGCCACACUGGAACUGAGACACGGUCCAGACUCCUACGGGAGGCGGCAGUGGGGAAUAUUGCACAAUGGGCGCAAGCCUGAUGCAGCCAUGCCGCGUGUGUGAAGAAGGCCUUCGGGUUGUAAAGCACUUUCAGUCGUGAGGAAGGCGGGUACGUUAAUAGCGUAUUCGUUUGACGUUAGCGACAGAAGAAGCACCGGCUAACUCCGUGCCAGCAGCCGCGGUAAUACGGAGGGUGCGAGCGUUAAUCGGAAUUACUGGGCGUAAAGCGCAUGCAGGUGGUUUGUUAAGUCAGAUGUGAAAGCCCGGGGCUCAACCUCGGAAUAGCAUUUGAAACUGGCAGACUAGAGUACUGUAGAGGGGGGUAGAAA